CUACGGGCGGCUCCAGUGGGGAAUAUUGGACAAUGGGGGAAACCCUGAUGCAGCAACGCCGCGUGGAGGAUGACACAUUUCGGUGCGUAAACUCCUUUUAUAGGUCAAGAUAAUGACGGUAGCCUAUGAAUAAGCGCCGGCUAACUCCGUGCCAGCAGCCGCGGUAAUACGGAGGGCGCAAGCGUUACUCGGAAUCACUGGGCGUAAAGAGCGUGUAGGCGGAUUAAAAAGUCAGAAGUGAAAUCCUAUAGCUUAACUAUAGAACUGCUUCUGAAACUCUUAAUCUAGAAUAUGGGAGAGGUAGAUGGAAUUUCUGGUGUAGGGGUAAAAUCCGUAGAGAUCAGAAGGAAUACCGAUUGCGAAGGCGAUCUACUAGAACAUUAUUGACGCUGAGACGCGAAAGCGUGGGGAGCAAACAGGAUUAGAUACCCGGGUAGUC
rnacentral:rRNA from 1 species